rnacentral:rRNA from 1 species
GACGAACGCUGGCGGCGUGCUUAACACAUGCAAGUCGAACGGAAAGGCCCUGCUUUUGUGGGGUGCUUGAGUGGCGAACGGGUGAGUAACACGUGAGUAACCUGCCCUUGACUUUGGGAUAACUUCAGGAAACUGGGGCUAAUACCGGAUAGGAGCUCCUGCUGCAUGGUGGGGGUUGGAAAGUUUCGGCGGUUGGGGAUGGACUCGCGGCUUAUCAGCUUGUUGGUGGGGUAGUGGCUUACCAAGGCUUUGACGGGUAGCCGGCCUGAGAGGGUGACCGGCCACAUUGGGACUGAGAUACGGCCCAGACUCCUACGGGAGGCAGCAGUGGGGAAUAUUGCACAAUGGGCGGAAGCCUGAUGCAGCAACGCCGCGUGCGGGAUGACGGCCUUCGGGUUGUAAACCGCUUUCGCCUGUGACGAAGCGUGAGUGACGGUAAUGGGUAAAGAAGCACCGGCUAACUACGUGC